CAACCCGCAUUACUAUAUAGAGUGGCUAACAGUCAGGCUAACUGCUUUCCUUCGCGGCAAAAUCUACCAUUUGCAGUUGAUGCCCAUGCAGGUAUGAACGGAACAACACUCACUACUCCAGGCGCUUGUCACCGAGCGCAGCGCGAGCUCCAGUCGCCACUUCCGAUCAAGGAUAAUCACAAAGAAAUUCACAUUCAGGUCGCUUCCGUGUACAUCUAUGAAUCUGGUCAAGGGUGGCUGAAAUAACUGUUAUUUAAAUAAUAAAAAGGAUAAAGUAAAAUAAAACAACGCGUUUGAUUUAACUGUAAAGAGAAUAAUACAGGAACUGG